CAUCUGUCAAGACUUGGUCUGUGGCGUGGUUUGUUCUCCCGUGGCGCAAAGGAAUUGGACCAUACGUGGCGUGCAGGUCAAACAAGAGUCUGUCUUCAUAGUGUGUACACAGACGUGUUAUAUAAGGGGUCACAAUCGAUGUUGACCGGCGUGUCUUUAGGAGGACGUGGGCAGGGGGACGAGCACACACGCAGCGUUGUUUGCUUGGAGCUCAGCCCCUGGGUCAAAAGCUCAUCCCUGGAGAUCAACAGACUUUGAGCGGCACCUCACAAAAAACAUCCUGAGAGUCCGUGAAUGCGUCGUGACUGGUGAGCGAGGGGGACGACGGAGUGCGAGUUUGAAUGUUGUUGUUUCAAUCGAUCGAUUGUUGAUCUUUUGUGUGUGACGUCACUGACUACAAUCUCUGAUGUGCGCUGGAAGAGAUCACAAUGUUGGAGAUUAGUCACGUGAGUCAGGAUGCUGGCCGACACAUCCA